rnacentral:rRNA from 1 species
AGCGAACGCUGGCGGCAGGCCUAACACAUGCAAGUCGAACGAACCUUUCGGGGUUAGUGGCGGACGGGUGAGUAACACGUGGGAACGUGCCUUUAGGUUCGGAAUAACUCAGGGAAACUUGUGCUAAUACCGAAUGUGCCCUUCGGGGGAAAGAUUUAUCGCCUUUAGAGCGGCCCGCGUCUGAUUAGCUAGUUGGUUGAGGUAAUGGCUCACCAAGGCGACGAUCAGUAGCUGGUCUGAGAGGAUGAUCAGCCACAUUGGGACUGAGACACGGCCCAAACUCCUACGGGAGGCAGCAGUGGGGAAUCUUGCGCAAUGGGCGAAAGCCUGACGCAGCCAUGCCGCGUGAAUGAUGAAGGUCUUAGGAUUGUAAAAUUCUUUCACCGGGGACGAUAAUGACGGUACCCGGAGAAGAAGCCCCGGCUAACUUCGUA